UACGUAGGGUGCGAGCGUUAAUCGAAAUUACUGGGCGUAAAGCGUGCGCAGGCGGUUUUGUAAGCCAGAUGUGAAAUCCCCGGGCUUAACCUGGGAAUGGCAUUUGGGACUGCAAGGCUGGAGUGUGGCAGAGGAGACUGGAAUUCCCGGUGUAGCAGUGAAAUGCGUAGAUAUCGGGAGGAAUACCGAUGGCGAAGGCAGGUCUCUGGGCUGACACUGACGCUCAUGCACGAAAGCGUGGGGAGCAAACAGG
rnacentral:rRNA from 1 species